rnacentral:lncRNA from 1 species
UUUGUGUAGCUUCACGAAUAUGGUCAUUGUCUUACUUGGGUCUUAUUGAAUCAUUUCUAUAUUACAGAUAUAAAUGGCUAGUAACCAAGACGAUACCCAUGACGCGAGUGGAUCACGUAACAAUGUUGAAAAUGAAAUCAAACGAGGAUUGACUGUUAUGAAGUCAAUCAUUCGUGCAAGAGACAAGGGUGAAAAAUUCGAAGUACAUUGGAGUGUUG